CCUGCACCCACACCGCCCCGUUUUGGAUAAGAGUGGACAGCCCUGAUGGCACCUGCAGAAGAGCAGGAGCGCAGCCACUGAACUUUAUCCUGAUGGCCUCCUAACAACUGACUUCAUGAUGGGGGAAUGGAUAGUGACUGAGCGUGGGGGUAAGGGGACUCACGUUGCACUUUUCUGCAGUCUCCUGGUCCCUGCACCUGUCCAUCCCUCUCCUACACGGGUCCUCUUCUGCUGUACACAGGAGCGCCUCCUACAGACCACACGCCCACAUUACAACUGUAACCAAACCUGACAGACCACUGAGUGCCACUGAGCCUCAGAUCUUGAUGAUAUAAUAAUCUGAAUUAGGGCUGUGGGUUUGCACAUAAUGUGUCUCAUUUAUCAAACGUGAGCCGAAUCAAAUUCACUGUAAAUCCAUCGGAAAUGCAUUUGCACAAAUAACGUUGGAUUUUUCAAAGUUUUCGGACGUCAGUUUUUUCGUAGGAGCUGAACAAACACAAAUUAGGUGGUGUGCUUUGGAUCAUGAGCAGUUCAUUUUGUUCUCCAUACACGAAACUGAACAAGAACAUUUUGUUCCUGAGGCUCACCCGUGGUGUUGUAUCUUGCGGUGAACCCUUUGAGUUUACUGCCAUUAAUACUUCUUUGGUCCUCAUGUUGUGAGACAAUGGCAGCAGGCUCCGAAUGCAUUUGCCACACUCAAAAUCAAUU